GUGCCAGCCGCCGCGGUAAUACGUAGGGUGCAAGCGUUAAUCGGAAUUACUGGGCGUAAUGCGUGCGCAGGCGGUUUUGUAAGACAGGCGUGAAAUCCCCGGGCUCAACCUGGGAAUGGCAUUGGAGACUGGAUGACUAGAGUGCGGUAGAGGGUGGUGGAAUUCCCGGUGUAGCGGUGAAAUGCGUAGAGAUCGGGAGGAACAUCUGUGGCGAAGGCGGCCACCUGGACCAGCACUGACGCUCAGGCACGAAAGCGUGGGGAGCAAACAGGAUUAGAUACCCUGGUAGUCCACGCCCUAA
rnacentral:rRNA from 1 species